rnacentral:rRNA from 1 species
AUGCUUACCAUGCAAGUCGAACGAGACGGGAUGGAAUGACCCUUCGGGGGAAUGAAAUCCUAGAAAGUGGCGAACGGGUGAGUAACGCGUGGGUAACCUGCCCUAUGGAAAGGAAUAGCCUCGGGAAACUGGGAGUAAUGCCUUAUAAUAUACGAGAGUCGCAUGGCUUUUGUAUUAAACGCUCCGGUGCCAUAGGAUGGACCCGCGUCCCAUUAGCUAGUUGGUGAGAUAACAGCCCGCCAAGGCAACGAUGGGUAACCGGUCUGAGAGGGCGAACGGUCACACUGGAACUGAGACACGGUCCAGACUCCUACGGGAGGCAGCAGUGGGGAAUAUUGCGCAAUGGGGGCAACCCUGACGCAGCAAUACCGCGUGAGUGAAGAAGGUUUUCGGAUCGUAAAGCUCUGUUAUUGGGGAAGAAAAAGGACGGUACCCAAGAAGAAAGUCCCGGCUAACUACGUGCCAGCAGCCGCGGUAAUACGUAGGGGACAAGCGUUGUCCGGAUUUACUGGGCGUAAAGGGCACGCAGGCGGUUUUUUAAGUCAGAUGUGAAAGGUACCGGCUCAACCGGUGACAUGCAUUUGAAACUGAAAGACUUGAGUAUUGGAGAG